GCCACAUCUUCAGAACUAACUACAAGCCUUUUAUUUGUGUGAGAAGACGUUUUAUACAGCUUUGCCUGCAUCAGCCGAGAAAUCCCACAAAGAACCUUCAUGGAGACCAAAGUUUUCACUCUCUUUGCGUUCCUGGUUGCAAUGACAACUGUGUGCAGCGCCGCAUCCUUAGCCGAUGAUUUUGAUCGUCAAAAGCGCAGUGUAUGGGAUGUUGGCGGGAGUUACACCUGUAACCCUGAUCCUAAUUGCGCAGGCAGCGGUUUCACCGGAACAAUUACGAUCAAUUACCAAAAUUGCCGCUGCAGAGGAACACAGCUGUGUUGCGUGCAGAUUACAGGGAGAGGAACAUAUGGACGACCGCCCACUCCCCCUCCACGUAGCUUUGGUGGGUUUGGCAGUAGAAAUCGUGGUGGUUUCGGUACACGUGGUGGAUUCGGCGGUGGAUGGCGUGGUUAAAUGACGUGAAGACACAACUAGCAUGUGUUAGGACACUGAUUAAUUGGAUUUAAUAGUCAAAAUGGUGCGAUGGACGUAUAACUAAACUCUUUUCUUGUUGCUGUUUUUGUGCUCUUAUGAAGUAUAAAAUCAUUCCGAUGUGCAUGAACGUCGCAAACCUGCUAGAUACUGUUUUUUCAAGAAAAUAAAU
rnacentral:lncRNA from 1 species